rnacentral:rRNA from 1 species
GACAGGUGGUGCAUGGUUGUCGUCCAGCUCGUGUCGUGAGAUGUUGGGUUAAGUCCCGCAACGAGCGCAACCCUUGUGUUUUAGUUGCAAACAGGUCAAGCUGUGCACUCUAGACAGACUGCCGUGGACAACACGGAGGAAGGUGGGGAUGACGUCAAAUCAUCAUGCCCCUUAUGAUCUGGGCUACACACGUGCUACAAUGGCCGGUACAACGGGCAGCGAAGGAGCGAUCCGGAGCGAAUCCUAAAAAGCCGGUCCCAGUUCGGAUUGCAGGCUGAAACUCGCCUACAUGAAGUUGGAAUCGCUAGUAAUCGCGCAUCAGCAUGGCGCGGUGAAUACGUUCCCGGGCCUU